rnacentral:pre_miRNA from 13 species
UCUCUACUUUAACAUGGAGGCAUUUGCUGUGACAUAACAAAAAUAAGUGCUUCCAUGUUUGAGUGUGG